AACGGCCAUACCAUGCUGAAUAUACCGGUUCUCGUUAGAUCACCGAAGUCAAGCAUCAUUGGGCGCGGUCAGUACUUGGGUGGGUGACCACCUGGGAACACCGCGUGCUGUU